rnacentral:rRNA from 1 species
CUUAUACUGGGGGAUAGCCUUUGGAAACGAAGAUUAAUACCCCAUAGUAUGUUUGAAUGGCAUCAUUUGGACAUUAAAGUUUCGGCGGUAUAAGAUGACUAUGCGUUCUAUUAGUUUGUUGGUAAGGUAACGGCUUACCAAGACUACGAUAGAUAGGGGUCCUGAGAGGGAGAUCCCCCACACUGGUACUGAGACACGGACCAGACUCCUACGGGAGGCAGCAGUGAGGAAUAUUGGACAAUGGAGGCAACUCUGAUCCAGCCAUGCCGCGUGUAGGAAGACUGCCCUAUGGGUUGUAAACUACUUUUAUAUGGGAAGAAUAAGGUCUACGUGUAGACUGAUGACGGUACCAUAAGAAUAAGCACCGGCUAACUCCGUGCCAGCAGCCGCGGUAAUACGGAGGGUGCAAGCGUUAUCCGGAAUCAUUGGGUUUAAAGGGUCCGUAGGCGGGCAUAUAAGUCAGUGGUGAAAGUCUGUGGCUCAACCAUAGAAUUGCCAUUGAUACUGUAUGUCUUGAAUUAUUGUGAAGUGGUUAGAAUAUGUAGUGUAGCGGUGAAAUGCUUAGAGAUUACAUAGAAUACCGAUUGCGAAGGCAGAUCACUAACAAUAUAUUGACGCUGAUGGACGAAAGCGUAGGUAGCGAACAGGAUUAGAUACCCUGGUAGUCUACGCCGUAAACGAUGGAUACUAGUUGUUUGGCUUUCGGGCUGAGUGACUAAGCGAAAGUGAUAAGUAUCCCACCUGGGGAGUACGUUCGCAAGAAUGAAACUCAAAGGAAUUGACGGGGGCCCGCACAAGCGGUGGAGCAUGUGGUUUAAUUCGAUGAUACGCGAGGAACCUUACCAGGGCUUAAAUGUAGAUUGACAGGACUAGAGAUAGUUUUUUCUUCGGACAAUUUACAAGGUGCUGCAUGGUUGUCGUCAGCUCGUGCCGUGAGGUGUCAGGUUAAGUCCUAUAACGAGCGCAACCCCUGUGGUUAGUUGCCAGCGAGUAAUGUCGGGAACUCUAGCCAGACUGCCGGUGCAAACCGUGAGGAAGGUGGGGAUGACGUCAAAUCAUCACGGCCCUUACGUCCUGGGCCACACACGUGCUACAAUGGUAGGGACAGAGAGCAGCCACUGGGCGACCAGGAGCGAAUCUAUAAACCCUAUCUCAGUUCGGAUUGGAGUCUGCAACUCGACUCCA